rnacentral:rRNA from 1 species
AUUGAACGCUGGCGGCAAGCCUAACACAUGCAAGUCGAACGCAGUGGGGACGGGUGAGUAACACGUGGGUAACCUCCCCAUCAGCGGGGAUAACACUUGGAAACAGGUGCUAAACCGAUACUGAUGGCUGGCCCCGCGGUGCAUUAGCUAGUUGGUGAGGUAACGGCUCACCAAGGCCACGAUGCAUCGCCGACCUGAGAGGGUGAUCGGCAACACUGGGACUGCGACACGGCCCAGACUCCUACGGGAGGCAGCAGUAGGGAAUCUUCGGCAAUGGACGAAAGUCUGACCGAGCAACGCCGCGUGAGUGAAGAAGGUUUUCGGAUCGUAAAACUCUGUUGUUAGAGAAGCGGUAUCUAACCAGAAAGCCACGGCUAACUACGUGCCAGCAGCCGCGGUAAUAC